rnacentral:rRNA from 1 species
UCUGGCCAUCCGAGUUGUAAUCUAGAGAAGUGUUACCCGCGUCGGACCGUGUAUAAGUCUCCUGGAAUGGAGCGUCAUAGAGGGUGAGAAUCCCGUCUUUGACACGGACUACCGAGGCUUUGUGGUAUGCUCUCAAAGAGUCGAGUUGUUUGGGAAUGCAGCUCAAAAUGGGUGGUAAAUUCCAUCUAAAGCUAAAUAUUGGCGAGAGACCGAUAGCGAACAAGUACCGUGAGGGAAAGAUGAAAAGAACUUUGGAAAGAGAGUUAAACAGUACGUGAAAUUGCUGAAAGGGAAACGCUUGAAGUCAGUCGCGUKGGCCGGGAAUCAGCCUUGCUUUUGCUUGGUGUACUUUCUGGUUGACGGGCCAGCAUCAGUUUUGACCGGUGGAAAAAGUUCAGGGGAAUGUGGCAUCUUCGGGUGUGUUAUASCCCUUGUUCGUAUACAUCGGUUGGGACUGAGGAACUCAGCACGCCGCAAGGCCGGGUCUUUGWCCACGUUCGUGCUUAGGAURCUGGCAUAAUGGCUUUAAUCGACCCGUCUUGAAACACGGRCCAAGGAGUCUAACAUGCCUGCGAGUGUUUGGGUGGAAAACCCGAGCGCGUAAUGAAAGUGAAAGUUGAGAUCCUUGUCAUGGGGAGCAUCGACGCCCGGACCUGACGUUUUCUGAACGGCCCUGCGGUAGAGCAUGUAUGUUGGGACCCGAAAGAUGGUGAAC